rnacentral:rRNA from 1 species
AGCUCCAAUAGCGUAUAUUAAAGUUGUUGCAGUUAAAAAGCUCGUAGUUGGAUUUCUGGUAGGAGCGACCGUUCCGAACUUGAUUGUUCGUGUAUUGAGUUGUCUCCAGCCAUCCUUGUGGAGAACUUUUCUUGCAUUAAUUUGUAGGGAUUGGGACCUGCAUCGUUUACUGUGAAGAAAUUAGAGUGUUUAAAGCAGGCAAUCGCUUGAAUACAUUAGCAUGGAAUAAUAAGAUAGGACUUUGGUACUAUUUUGUUGGUUUGCAUACCAAAUUAAUGAUCAAUAGGAACAGUUUGAGGAUAUUCGUAUGAACAUGUCAGAGGUGAAAUUCUUGGAUUUUGAUCAGACGAACUACUGCGAAAGCAUUUAUCAAGGAUGUUUUCAUUAAUCAAGAACGAAA